UGGGGAAUAUUGCACAAUGGGCGCAAGCCUGAUGCAGCAACGCCGCGUGAGGGACGACGGCCUUCGGGUUGUAAACCUCUUUUAGCAGGGAAGAAGCGAAAGUGACGGUACCUGCAGAAAAAGCACCGGCUAACUACGUGCCAGCAGCCGCGGUAAUACGUAGGGUGCAAGCGUUGUCCGGAAUUAUUGGGCGUAAAGAGCUCGUAGGCGGUCUGUCGCGUCUGCUGUGAAAUCCCCGAGGCUCAACCUCGGGCCUGCAGUGGGUACGGGCAGACUAGAGUGCGGUAGGGGAGAAUGGAACUCCUGGUGUAGCGGUGGAAUGCGCAGAUAUCAGGAAGAACACCGAUGGCGAAGGCAGUUCUCUGGGCCGUAACUGACGCUGAGGAGCGAAAGCGUGGGGAGCGAACAGGAUUAGAUACCCUGGUAGUCCACGCCGUAAACGUUGGGCGCUAGAUGUGGGGACCAUUCCACGGUUUCCGUGUCGCAGCUAACGCAUU
rnacentral:rRNA from 1 species